CUCUUCUUGAAUAUAUUAUGAUGUAUGGCCUGCCCACUGAGUGUUGAAGGGCCGCGGUAUUUUGACCGUGCAAAGGUAGCAUAAUCAUUAGUCUUUUAAUUGUAGGCUGGAAUGAAUGGUUUGACGAGGUGUAAACUGUCUUUAAUUUAUUUGUUGAAUUUAAAUUUUAGGUUAAAAUGCCUAAAUUUUUUUUUGGGACGAGAAGACCCUAUAGAGUUUUAUAUGUUUUUAUUUUUUUUGUGUGAUAAUUUUAAAUUUAAUAAUUUAUUUUGUUGGGGUGAUGGAAAGAUUUAAUUAACUCUUUUUAUUUUUUUAUAUUUAUUUAUAUGUAUUUGAUCCAUUUUUGUUGAUUAUAAGGCUAAAUUACC
rnacentral:rRNA from 1 species